UACGUAGGUGGCAAGCGUUAUCCGGAUUUAUUGGGCGUAAAGGGAACGCAGGCGGUCUUUUAAGUCUGAUGUGAAAGCCUUCGGCUUAACCGGAGUAGUGCAUUGGAAACUGGGAGACUUGAGUGCAGAAGAGGAGAGUGGAACUCCAUGUGUAGCGGUGAAAUGCGUAGAUAUAUGGAAGAACACCGGUGGCGAAAGCGGCUCUCUGGCCUGUAACUGGCACUGAGGCUCGAAAGCGUGGGGAGCAAACAGG
rnacentral:rRNA from 1 species